CCUACGGGGGGCAGCAGUGGGGAAUAUUGGACAAUGGGGGCAACCCUGAUCCAGCCAUGCCGCGUGUGUGAAGAAGGCCCUCGGGUUGUAAAGCACUUUCAGUGAGGAAGAACGCCUGGUGGUUAAUACCCAUCAGGAAAGACAUCACUCACAGAAGAAGCACCGGCUAACUCCGUGCCAGCAGCCGCGGUAAUACGGAGGGUGCGAGCGUUAAUCGGAAUUACUGGGCGUAAAGCGCGCGUAGGUGGCUUGAUAAGCCGGUUGUGAAAGCCCCGGGCUCAACCUGGGAACGGCAUCCGGAACUGUCAAGCUAGAGUGCAGGAGAGGAAGGCAGAAUUCCCGGUGUAGCGGUGAAAUGCGUAGAGAUCGGGAGGAAUACCAGUGGCGAAGGCGGCCUUCUGGACUGACACUGACACUGAGGUGCGAAAGCGUGGGUAGCAAACAGGAUUAGAUACCCUAGUAGUC
rnacentral:rRNA from 1 species